GUCUAUGGCCGUACCACCCUGAACGCACCCAAUCUCAUCUGAUCUCAAAAGCUAAGCAGGGUUGGGGCUGGUUAGUACUUCGAUGGGAGAAAACUAAGGCCAAGAAUGGUCCUGACGUUGGCU
rfam:Fukomys damarensis contig151457, whole genome shotgun sequence.